rnacentral:misc_RNA from 1 species
GCAAACUUGGUCAUUUAGAGGAAGUAAAAGUCGUAACAAGGUUUCCGUAGGUGAACCUGCGGAAGGAUCAUUACCGUGCAGACCUUCGGGUCCAUCACCCCCCCUGUGAACUUCUGGUUUCUUCGGCGGAUUCGUCCGUCGGAAGGUAACAUGAUUCUGAUGUAUGGUUAUUGUCCGAGUGAGAUUUGAAAAUCAGCCAGAAAAACUUUCAACAACGGAUCUCUUGGUUCCGGCAUCGAUGAAGAACGCAGC